rnacentral:rRNA from 1 species
AGCGAACGUUUGCGGCGGGCUUAACACAUGCAAGUCGAAUGGGCUAUUCCUUCGGGGGCAGUCAGUGGCGCACGGGUGCGUAACACGUAGGUAAUCAACCCUCUGGUUGGGGAUAACACUUCGAAAGGAGUGCUAAUACCCGGUAUGGCGCAGCGGUCUUCGGAUCGCGGCGAGAAAGACCCGCAAGGGUUGCCAGAGGACGAGCCUGCGGCCCAUCAGCUAGUUGGCGAGGUAACGGCUCACCAAGGCGAAGACGGGUAGCUGGUCUGAGAGGAUGAUCAGCCACACUGGAACUGAGACACGGUCCAGACUCCUACGGGAGGCAGCAGUGGGGAAUAUUGGACAAUGGGCGAAAGCCUGAUCCAGCAAUGCCGCGUGAGUGACGAAGGCCUUAGGGUUGUAAAACUCUUUCAGUAGGGAAGAUAAUGACGGUACCUACAGAAGAAGCACCGGCUAACUCCGUGCCAGCAGCCGCGGUAAUGUCUAGC